GACGAACGCUGGCGGCGUGCUUAAUACAUGCAAGUCGAACGGUAAGGCCCUGCUUUUGUGGGGUUCUCGAGUGGCGAACUGGUGUUUAACACGUGAGUAACCUGCCCUUGACUCUGUUAUAACUUCAGGAUACUGGGGCUAAUACCUGAUAGGACCUUCUGCUUCAUGGUGGGGGUUGGAAAGUUUCGGCGGUGGGGGAUGGACUCGCGGCUUCUCAGCUUGUUGGUGGGGUAGUUGCUUACCAAGGCUUUGACGGGUCGCCGGCUUGAGGGGGUGACCGAUAACAUUGGGACUGAGAUUCGGCCCAGACUCCUAAGGGGGGCAGCAGUGGGGAAUAUUGCAGAAUGGGCGGAAGACUGAUGCAGCAACGCCGCGUACGGGUUGAUGGCCGUCGCGUUGUAAGCCGCUUUCGCCUGUGACGAAGAGUGAGUGACGGUAAUGGGUAUAGAAGCACCGGCUAACUACGUG
rnacentral:rRNA from 1 species